AAACCUCUUUUCUCAGGGAAGAAGAUCUGACGGUACCUGAGGAAUAAGCAUCGGCUAACUCCGUGCCAGCAGCCGCGGUAAUACGGAGGAUGCAAGCGUUAUCCGGAAUUAUUGGGCGUAAAGCGUCCGCAGGUGGUCUUUCAAGUCUGCUGUCAAAGACCAGAGCUUAACUCUGGGCAGGCGGUGGAAACUGAGAGACUAUAGUUCGGUAGGGGUAGCGGGAAUUCCCCGUGUAGCGGUGAAAUGCGUAGAUAUUGGGAAGAACAUCUUGGGGAAAAGGGGU
rnacentral:rRNA from 1 species